rnacentral:rRNA from 1 species
CACGUAGGGGGCGAGCGUUGUCCGGAUUCAUUGGGCGUAAAGGGCGCGCAGGCGGCCCGGAAAGUCGGAUGCGAAAACUCGAGGCUCAACCUCGAGCGUGCACCCGAUACUGCCGGGCUUGAGGCAGGUAGGGGAGAUCGGAAUUCCUGGUGUAGCGGUGAAAUGCGCAGAUAUCAGGAGGAACACCGGUGGCGAAGGCGGAUCUCUGGGCCUUACCUGACGCUCAGGCGCGAAAGCUAGGGGAGCGAACUGG